rnacentral:rRNA from 1 species
UACGUAGGGUGCAAGCGUUAAUCGGAAUUACUGGGCGUAAAGCGUGCGCAGGCGGUUGUGCAAGACAGAUGUGAAAUCCCCGGGCUCAACCUGGGAAUUGCAUUUGUGACUGCACGGCUAGAGUGUGUCAGAGGGGGGUAGAAUUCCACGUGUAGCAGUGAAAUGCGUAGAGAUGUGGAGGAAUACCGAUGGCGAAGGCAGCCCCCUGGGAUAACACUGACGCUCAUGCACG